rnacentral:lncRNA from 1 species
GGCUUCCUCCCCAAACUCCUCCACGCUUCAUCUCGGUCUUGAUCCGUAGCUAGUGCCCAGCGGUAUGUAUUUUCGAUUUUGCCAUUUUGGAGUUUAGUUUAUUGUAUUCUGUAACUUGGACCAUUUUAUAUAUUUUUAGAUUUUAAUACUUAAUAUGGAUUAUUGAGAUUUGAGAAUGGGUUGUGUUUGAGAAAUAGAAUACAAAUUUUAUUGAAGUUUGGAUUGUAUGGAUGAAACAGAAUAAAAAUUUUUACUCUUCUGUCCUUGUUUUGAGCCUUUCAAUUUGCAAAAUUCAAACCUCAUUAUUUAUUAUUUUUCUUUAUUUAUUUAUGUUUCGAUUUGUUGUCUGUUUGCCAUGCUGGUUGAAUUGGAAGUUAAUUUGGAUUCAUAUUUAUGGAAUUUUACUCUAAUGACAUUGCCACAUUACAAAUUUGGAUCUUCCGUUUAUUUAUUGGGUAUUUGGGUGUGAUAACAUUGAUUUUAUAAUUUACAUUUGCUAGGUACUGAAACAUUGUUUGAUGAAUUCCUGAAACUGUAUGACAUCCCAAAUCACUUGUCUAAGCAAAGUUUAUGCUCAACGUUAUUGUUACAGUUUAUUAGGUAUGAGGAAUUAGAAAGAAAAUUAAAAAAGAGAAAGAAAUUGUGUUGAAACUGAAGUAUGCAUUUUGCCUUUUUAACCUUCCUUCCUGGAGUGGAUGGGGUACUUCGAUUUAUGGGCUAUUGGCUAUAUGGAUGUGUAUUCUUUGAUGUCUGUUUUUCAGUUUCUUCUAUCCAAGGGACUUAUUUGAUCUUCUUUCUUCUUCUUGAUUUUGUCCGUUUAUUCGCAGUCAUAAUUGGUUGGAAGAGUUUCUAAGAAAAUGACAUUUGCAUUAUUAAUUCAUUUAUGCUGGAGAGAUCUCUGUCUAGUGUCUACCAACUAGAAAUAUACAUGUUAGUAAGUAAAUGUCUCCAUCUCUCUACUUAUUGCAUUGUCGGUAAAAUAUUAAAUUGAAUGUUGCCGUCUAUGUUGCCAUGACGAUCUAUUUGUUUAUGUUGCCUUGUUGGCUUAAUGAAUUUUAGCCUGUGCACCAAAAAAUUUUGGAUCAGUCCUUGGGCAGCAUCUACGUGGUGCAAUUUAUGUGUUUUUUGUGUCAAAAAUCAAUGAAAAACUGUCAAAUGUUGUAAAAGGAAAGUUUAUUAAGGUUUACAGGUGAAGGAAAAUUACACUUCUGCAGCCCAAGAAAUAAUUACUAUUAUAUCCCUGAUUUUGUCAUAUAAAUACAGGGUUUUGGUUUUUAAUAAAACAUACAUAAGUCUAUUCACUUCUCUCUGUUCUCGUCUCUUUUCUUCACUUUUAUAACACGUUAUCAGUACGAUAGGUUAAUUUUUCAAAGUUUAGUGAAGAUAAUAAUUUUUAUAAGUAUGAAUAUUUAUCACGUGUACCAAAAUUAAUUUGGUAGCAUGUGAACUAUUUCAAUAUACAUAUGCAUCAUAACGAGAUUGCUUCUUCUUCUCUACUUUUUAUCGGCAUGCAUAUUAAUUAUAAUUCACGUUUGUAUAUGUAAUCUGAACACAUAUUAAUUCACAUUUUUUUAUUUAUACACGAUUAUUUUUUUCACAUGUUAUUCAGUAUUAAUUAUGUCUUUUGAAUCUGCUACAUAUUAGUUCUAUCUUUAAUUUCUAGAUAUAUGAAAUCCAUAUACAUGUUUAGUAUCUUUUGAAUAUUAGUAAAAGAUUGAGCCAAUAAAUGAUUUAGCCAAUUUUGUUAACUUCUAUGUAUGAAGAUUAUUUUUUUAAUGCAUGUUUAGUAAUUAAUUUUUCUAUAUAAAUUCAUAUCAUGUCUAUAUGGUAAUUAAAUAUUUUUAGAUAUUAUUCUAUGAACUUCAAAUUAAGAAUUUAUCACCUUAUUAUUCCAAAAGUAGCAAAACAUUAUAAUUAAUAUUUUAGAAGCAUGUUAAUUUAAAAGCUAUCUAUUUUGUAUAGUUAAUUGAUGCUCCUGAAAUAGCACAAUAUUAUACUUAAUAUUCUUGAAGAAUAUUACUUGCUCCUGAAAAGCAUAAAUUAUAAUUUUCAAUAAUUUAGAAUAAAAUUGAUAUAUUGCUCUUAAAGAAGUAAUAGUAAAAUACAAUGUGCUCUUAAAGUAGCAUAUAUUUUGAAGAACAUAUUAUUUUAGUAUUUAUUCAUGAAGGAAAACACAUAAUUUAUGUCAUGAUUAACUAUUAUGUGAUAUCUAAUCAUAUUCUUUAAAACUAAUUGUAUUUUCUCUCGCUUUAUUUCGUAGUUAAUCAAAUGACAAAUAUCACAAAACUUGAGUUUGCUGCAUUUGACAUCUCUGACAAAAACUAUCUAUCAUGGGUACUUGACGCUGAUAUCCAUCUUGUCUGAAAAGGUUUGAGAGAGACAAUAAAAGAAGAAAACAAAGAAUCCUUGCAGGAUCGUGCAAAAGUACUCAUCUUUUUUCGUCAUCAUCUUCAUAAUGGACUGGAAAUUGAAUAUCUCACUUAAAAAGAUCCACAGGUUCUUUGAAAAAAAUUAACUGGAAUAUUUGAUCAUCAAAGGACUAUAGUCCUCCCCAAAGCCCGCUAUGAGUGGAUGCACCUUCGUUUGUAAGACUUCAAAACUUUAGUGAGUACAAUUCUGAAUUGUUCAGAAUAUGUUCAAAAUUGACAUUGUGUGGAAAAAACACUGAUGAAGACAUGUUAAAGAAAAAAUUACCUUUCACGCCUCGAAUGUGCUCCUAGAGCAGCAAUAUCGCGAGCUUGAUUUCAAAAAAUACUCAAAACUUAUAUCUUGUCUACCUGUUGUUGAACAGAAUAAUGAACUGUUGAUGAAAAAUCAUGGGUUACGUCCAACUGGUUCUGUACCAUUGCCUGAAACAAAUGAUAUUGCAUUGUCUGAAGCAAAUGUAAUAUGAAGACAAAGACAUGGACGUGGACGUGGAUUUCGACGUGCACGCGGAGUAAACCAUGGACGAAAUAAUCAACAAAGUUAUCAACAAUAAGACAACAAUUUCAAAAGGCACAAAGUAAAUAAAAGUAGCAUAUAGAAAAAGGUACACGAAGAAAGUUGUUUUAGAUGUGGAAUGAAAGGGCAUUGGACACGUACUUGUCGUACAGAAAAAACACCUUGUGGAUCUCUACCAAAAAUCAAUUAAGAGAAAAGUAGAGACAAAUUUUGCUGAUUAUGAUGGUCCAAUUUAUGUGACUCAUUUGGAUGUCUCCGAUUUCUUUGCUAAUCCAAAUGGGAAUAUUGACCAUUUGAUUGGGGGUGGUACGAUAGAA